GUCCUGGCCCUAAACGAUGGGCACUAGGUUGUGGACUAACAUGGGUUCACAGCCGAAGCAAAAGUGUUAAGUGCCCCGCCUGGGGAGUAUGGUCGCAAGGCUGAAACUCAAAGGAAUUGACGGGGGCUCACACAAGCGGUGGAGCAUGUGGCUUAAUUCGAGGCUACGCGAAGAACCUUAUCCUGGGCUUGACAUGUCCGAAAGGGGUAGGAAGUAGUCUGCGGAAACGUUAGACCAACGGUAUCCAGUCCGGAACCUACUACAGGUGCUGCAUGGCUGUAGU
rnacentral:rRNA from 1 species